ACUCAAACUAUGGGGGCACUUUCUGUUCUAUGCUGGAAAGUGUCGCCGAUUUUUUGAGCGC
rnacentral:pre_miRNA from 1 species